rnacentral:misc_RNA from 1 species
AAGUCGUAACAAGGUUUCCGUAGGUGAACCUGCGGAAGGAUCAUUAUUGAGAGCGGGUGCUUUUGCGCCCAACCUCCAACCCUUUGUUAAAAACACUUUGUUGCUUUGGCGGGUCCGUCCUCUCGGGGACCGCCGGAGGGGUUCAGUCACCUCUGGUCCGUACCUGCCAGUAGCCAAAUCAAAUUCUUUAUAAUUAUGUCGUCUGAUUUCUUAAUUAAAUUAAUUAAAA